GGGCGACGGUUGUCCCGGUUUAAGCAUGUAGGCGGAACGAUUAGGUAAAUCCGGUCGUUUAUUAACGCUGAGGUGUGAUGACGAGGCACUACGGUGCUGAAGUAACAAAUGCCCUGCUUCCAGGAAAAGCCUCUAAGCAUCAGGUAACAUCAAAUCGUACCCCAAACCGACACAGGUGGUCAGGUAGAGAAUACCAAGGCGCUUGAGAGAACUCGGGUGAAGGAACUAGGCAAAAUGGUGCCGUAACUUCGGGAGAAGGCACGCUGAUAUGUAGGUGAAGCCCCUGCGGGUGGAGCUGAAAUCAGUCGAAGAUACCAGCUGGCUGCAACUGUUUAUUAAAAACACAGCACUGUGCAAACACGAAAGUGGACGUAUACGGUGUGACGCCUGCCCGGUGCCGGAAGGUUAAUUGAUGGGGUUAGCGGCAACGCGAAGCUCUUGAUCGAAGCCCCGGUAAACGGCGGCCGUAACUAUAACGGUCCUAAGGUAGCGAAAUUCCUUGUCGGGUAAGUUCCGACCUGCACGAAUGGCGUAAUGAUGGCCAGGCUGUCUCCACCCGAGACUCAGUGAAAUUGAACUCGCUGUGAAGAUGCAGUGUACCCGCGGCAAGACGGAAAGACCCCGUGAACCUUUACUAUAGCUUGACACUGAACACUGGUCCUUGAUGUGUAGGAUAGGUGGGAGGCUUUGAAGCGUGGACGCCAGUCUGCGUGGAGCCGACCUUGAAAUACCACCCUUUAAUGGCUGGUGUUCUAACGUAGACCCGUGAUCCGGGUUGCGGACAGUGUCUGGUGGGUAGUUUGACUGGGGCGGUCUCCUCCCAAAGAGUAACGGAGGAGCACGAAGGUUAGCUAAUCCUGGUCGGACAUCAGGAGGUUAGUGCAAUGGCAUAAGCUAGCUUGACUGCGAGAGUGACGGCUCGAGCAGGUGCGAAAGCAGGUCAUAGUGAUCCGGUGGUUCUGAAUGGAAGGGCCAUCGCUCAACGGAUAAAAGGUACUCCGGGGAUAACAGGCUGAUACCGCCCAAGAGUUCAUAUCGACGGCGGUGUUUGGCACCUCGAUGUCGGCUCAUCACAUCCUGGGGCUGAAGUAGGUCCCAAGGGUAUGGCUGUUCGCCAUUUAAAGUGGUACGCGAGCUGGGUUUAGAACGUCGUGAGACAGUUCGGUCCCUAUCUGCCGUGGGCGCUGGAGAAUUGAGGGGGGCUGCUCCUAGUACGAGAGGACCGGAGUGGACGCAUCACUGGUGUUCGGGUUGUCAUGCCAAUGGCACUGCCCGGUAGCUAAAUGCGGAAAAGAUAAGUGCUGAAAGCAUCUAAGCACGAAACUUGCCCCGAGAUGAGUUCUCCCUGACCCUUUAAGGGUCCUGAAGGAACGUUGAAGACUACGACGUUGAUAGGUCGGGUGUGUAAGCGCAGCGAUGCGUUGAGCUAACCGAUACUAAUGAACCGUGAGGCUUAACCUU
rnacentral:rRNA from 1 species